rnacentral:rRNA from 1 species
AAUUUUGCGCAAUGGGGGCAACCCUGACGCAGCGACGCCGCGUGGAGGACGAAGUCUUUCGGGAUGUAAACUCCUGUCAGUGGGGACGAUAAUGACGGUUCCCACAGAGGAAGCACCGGCUAACUCCGUGCCAGCAGCCGCGGUAAUAC